rnacentral:rRNA from 1 species
GGCCAGACUCCUACGGGAGGCAGCAGUGGGGAAUAUUGCACAAUGGGGGAAACCCUGAUGCAGCAACGCCGCGUGAGUGAGGAAGUAUUUCGGUAUGUAAAGCUCUCUCAGCAGGGAAUAGAAAAGAAGGUACCUGAAAAAGAAGCCCCGGCUAACUACGUGCCAGCAGCCGCGGUAAUACGUAGGGGGCAAGCGUUAUCCGGAUUUACUGGGUGUAAAGGGAGCGUAGACGGAAAGGCAAGUCAGAAGUGAAAGCCCAAGGCUCAACCAUGGGACUGCUUUUGAAACUGUCAAACUAGAGUACGGGAGAGGUAAGAGGAAUUCCUAGUGUAGCGGUGAAAUGCGUAGAUAUUAGGAGGAACACCAGUGGCGAAGGCGACUUUCUGGACUGUACCUGACGCUGAGGCGCGAAAGCGUGGGUAGCGAACGGGAUUAGAUACCCCCGUAC